rnacentral:lncRNA from 1 species
CAAAACGUACCAGUACCAAACAGUGGAUAGUGAUAGUGUGACUAGUUGCUAAUGAUCCCCGAGCCUGUAGCUUCCAAAUGAGAUCUAUAAAACAGAGGAAACAGAGUAAACGGAGUAAGCAUUACAAUGCUUAGUAAGUUUUAAGCAGUGUCAACAGAUAACAAUCAAAUUAUAACAUAGUUGUUCGUAUUUUUAUUUCACUCUUCC